CCAGGUUGAUUCUGCCUGACGUAGACGCUAUUCCCUAAGAUUAACCCAUGCAUGUUUUUGAAGAUUAUUAUCUGAAAAAUGGACUGCUCAGUAAUACUCACUUUAUUUUAUGUGCACCGCAGAUAACUACGUUAAAGUGUAGAUAACAUGUGUACAGUAAGAGUGAGACCUAUCAGCUAGUUGUUAAGGUAAUGGCUUAACAAGGCAGUGACGGGUAACGGUAUUACUUUGUAAUAUUCCGGAGAAGGAGCCUGAGAGACGGCUACUAAGUCUAAGGAUUGCAGCAGGGGCGAAACUUGACCUAUGGAUUUUAUCUGAGGCAGUUAUGGGAAGUAAUAUAUUAUUGUUUCAUAUUUUAAAAAUAUAUGAGGUGAUUAAUUGGAGGGCAAAUCAAGUGCCAGCAGCCGCGGUAAUACUUGUUCCAAGAGUGUGUAUGAUGAUUGAUGCAGUUAAAAAGUCCGUAGUUUAUUUUUAAGAAGCAAUAUGAGGUGUACUGUAUAGUUGGGAGAGAGAUGAAAUGUGACGACCCUGACUGGACGAACA
rnacentral:rRNA from 1 species